GUCGAACGAUGAAGCCCAGCUUGCUGGGUGGAUUAGUGGCGAACGGGUGAGUAACACGUGAGUAACCUGCCCUUAACUCUGGGAUAAGCCUGGGAAACUGGGUCUAAUACCGGAUAGGAGCGCCUACCGCAUGGUGGGUGUUGGAAAGAUUUAUCGGUUUUGGAUGGACUCGCGGCCUAUCAGCUUGUUGGUGAGGUAAUGGCUCACCAAGGCGACGACGGGUAGCCGGCCUGAGAGGGUGACCGGCCACACUGGGACUGAGACACGGCCCAGACUCCUACGGGAGGCAGCAGUGGGGAAUAUUGCACAAUGGGCGAAAGCCUGAUGCAGCGACGCCGCGUGAGGGAUGACGGCCUUCGGGUUGUAAACCUCUUUCAGUAGGGAAGAAGCGAAAGUGACGGUACCUGCAGAAGAAGCACCGGCUAACUACGUGCCAGCAGCCGCGGUAAUACGUAGGGUGCGAGCGUUAUCCGGAAUUAUUGGGCGUAAAGAGCUCGUAGGCGGUUUGUCGCGUCUGUCGUGAAAGUCCGGGGCUUAACCCCGGAUCUGCGGUGGGUACGGGCAGAC
rnacentral:rRNA from 1 species